UCGAGCGGGCGUAGCAAUACGUCAGCGGCAGACGGGUGAGUAACGCGUGGGAACAUACCUUUUGGUUCGGAACAACACAGGGAAACUUGUGCUAAUACCGGAUAAGCCCUUACGGGGAAAGAUUUAUCGCCGAAAGAUUGGCCCGCGUCUGAUUAGCUAGUUGGUGAGGUAACGGCUCACCAAGGCGACGAUCAGUAGCUGGUCUGAGAGGAUGAUCAGCCACAUUGGGACUGAGACACGGCCCAAACUCCUACGGGAGGCAGCAGUGGGGAAUAUUGGACAAUGGGCGCAAGCCUGAUCCAGCCAUGCCGCGUGAGUGAUGAAGGCCCUAGGGUUGUAAAGCUCUUUUGUGCGGGAAGAUAAUGACGGUACCGCAAGAAUAAGCCCCGGCUAACUUCGUGCCAGCAGCCGCG
rnacentral:rRNA from 1 species